UACGGAGGGUGCAAGCGUUAUCCGGAUUUACUGGGUUUAAAGGGUGUGUAGGCGGACAUUUAAGUCAGGGGUGAAAUCCCGAGGCUCAACCUCGGAACUGCCUUUGAUACUAUUUGUCUUGAAUGUUGUUGAGGUGGGCGGAACGGGUCAUGUAGCGGUGAAAUGCAUAGAUAUGACCCGGAACACCGAUUGCGAAGGCGGCCCGCUAAGCAACUAUUGACGCUGAGGCACGAAAGCGUGGGGAUCAAACAGG
rnacentral:rRNA from 1 species